CCACUAUGGAAGUUCGAUCGAAGUCUGGUUCUUGUAGAAGGCUGAAAGGAGAUCGCUUAUUGUAGAAGCUCGGUCGAAGAUCGGUUGUCGUGGGAGCUCGGAGUAGCGACCUGGCCGGUGGGUCCUGUCCCAUUGUAGAAGCUCAUCUGGGAUCCGGCUACGAAGAAGCUUGGUUGAAGUCUACCUGUAAUAGAAGUUCGAAAAAAAUAUGUUUACAGUA
rnacentral:lncRNA from 1 species